rnacentral:rRNA from 1 species
AGAGUUUGAUCAUGGCUCAGGAUGAACGCUAGCUACAGGCUUAACACAUGCAAGUCGAGGGGCAGCAUUGGAGUAGCAAUACUCAGAUGGCGACCGGCGCACGGGUGAGUAACACGUAUCCAACCUGCCGCUUACUCGGGGAUAGCCUUUCGAAAGAAAGAUUAAUACCCGAUGGUAUAAAGAGUUCGCAUGUUCUCUUUAUUAAAGAAUUUCGGUAAGCGAUGGGGAUGCGUUCCAUUAGAUAGUUGGCGGGGUAACGGCCCACCAAGUCUACGAUGGAUAGGGGUUCUGAGAGGAAGGUCCCCCACAUUGGAACUGAGACACGGUCCAAACUCCUACGGGAGGCAGCAGUGAGGAAUAUUGGUCAAUGGACGAGAGUCUGAACCAGCCAAAAGUAGCGUGAAGGAUGACUGCCCUAUGGGUUGUAAACUUCUUUUAUAAGGGAAUAAAGUGAGGGACGUGUCCCUUUUUGUAUGUACCUUAUGAAUAAGGAUCGGCUAACUCCGUGCCAGCCGCCGC